CUUUUAGGCAUUGGCAGCUGGGUGCACAAGUAGCCCCAGCAUUCAGGAAAUGCUGGGCAGAGGUGGAGGGCAAUGCCCCCAGUGUCAGAGAGCACACAACAGGGAGUGCCACUCUCUAACCCUGGUCCAGUUCAGUUCCUUGGGUCAACAAAAGAUAAGUUGGAGUCUUUCUGUACCACUGACUAGAAAUGUGUGAUUGUGGGAAAUGGAAUUCAUCUCUCAAACCUCAACAUUCUCAUCUGUGAAUUGGCAUUAUAUUAGCUUGACACAUGUGAAAUGGCUGUUUUUGUAGGUUAAAAUAGAACCGUGGAUAUUGGAAAUUUCAUAUGGCUUAACCUGAUACCUGCCCUGCCUGUUCCUCAAGGCUUUUGGAGAAAUAAAGAGUUGAGAGAAGAGCAUUUUCAAAAGUCCUGGACUGAUACAGAGGCGUUGUAUUAUUAUUACUUCAAGGAGCUCAGUACAGACACACCUGGAGCCAGUGGGUUGAACCAAUGACCCAGAACUUGGAGAUUUGGGGCUUGGAACUCUGGGAGAGAGCCACCUGCUCUGAUGACUAACAAUAGACCAGACACUUCCACCUGGCCUCCUCAGCUUCUGGCUCUAAAGGGCCUGAGGUGACACAAGCUCCCAGGCCCCAAGAAGGAGAAACAGCACAUACAGGCACACAGUCUUCAGCUCCAGGCCCACCACCACCACCAGCAGAGCCCUGCAUGCAGGAAGGACACAACCAGUAGCACCAUAGAAGAUGCCCCAAGCAACUACCUUAACAUAAGAAAACAGUCUUCUAUCAACAGCUUGAACUUCCCCGUUAAAGACAAGCACUAAUUUCUCCAAUGUUUAAGGUUGCAAAAGAAAUUAGAAUAGCAGACCGAGCUGUGAGAGGAAGUUACCAAGCUUUCAGAAGAAUGGAUUCAAGAAAUACAGUUCCUAAUUCCAGGAGUACUGACCUAGAGGUCUUAUUUCUUAAAGAGGGACACAGUAACCUCCCCAUAUCUCUAACUCACCCUUCACUUGAACCCUUCAAGGAUGCCAAUUCUUAGUCUAAUGCUGGUUCAGAGGUCCAGACCCCAUCACAACAAUAUGCCCUUAACGUGGGUCACUUGUACCUUUCAGCGUCUCCAUUGGGGUCAGGCCCCUCUGAAUGCAGGUAACGCCAUCCUGUAAACAAGAAACUUGGCCAUUCAAGUCAGCUUCCCUUCCUCUAAAAAAAAAUGCGUAUUAAAGUUGAACCAAAUGGGAACCUAUCCAAACAAGACAAACAAGGAAACUGACAACUACUCUUAAAGUCCGUGCCAAAGAAGUCUUAAGAACUUUUGACCACUUGCCACAGUUUAAACCACCUAAGGGCGCUCAUCCCUCCUCCGAGUUAUUGCAUGAGUUCCCAACUUCCCAUUCCCACCAAGAAGUCUCGUGCCCGUCAGUAAGAACCGACGCCGCAACCCAGUCUUGGAGGAAGAGCAUUGGACCCGCUAGCCUGUCAGCACGUCCCCAGGAGACCUCUGCUGUAGGAGCACGCCACCGCUGCCGCGCAGCCCGCCCAGCGCCUCCUUGUCACGUGGCGCGGCUGCGCUCCGCCCCCCCGCCCGCCAGCCCUCCCCGCGGCGCCCCACCUUCAGUUGCCUCCCGGUUCCCAGAGGAGUCCCGAGCGGAGAACGCAGAACAGGAGCUAAGGCCUCGCGCUGGCAGGAACAGUAUUUUCUCCUACUGGAAUUCUGCGGGAUCCAGCUUAACGCAAUAUUCGGCCAAGGGCGCGUAUGCAACCCUGUUCUCCGCCCUUCUUUCCCGUCAUGCCCGAGACUUGAGCCCAGUGGACCUGUCCAACCCUGGUCUCCGCCCUUCUUUCCCGUCAUGCCAUAAACUGAGCUGAGUGGACCUUGCCAGCCCUGGUCUCCACCCUUCUCUCCCAUCAUGCCCCGGACCUGAGCUCAGGGAGCCUUCAGAGCCCUGUCUCCGCCCUUAUUUCCCGUCAUGCCUCAGACCUGAAUUCAGUGGACCCUGCCAGCACUAGUCUCCGCCCCCUUUUCCCGUCAUGCCCCAGGACCAAGAAGAGAGGACAUUCACUCCCAGCAUCCCCUUUACUCCAAUUAUGGUUGACUUCUUAAAGAAACAGAUCCUGUGGAAAAGGAGUUUGGGGUAGGCUGUCAGGGACGUUAGAUGGCGCUACAAGUGUUCUGCUCUAUUCUUUAAUGGCUGUUUGCAGAAAGGUGGCCUGUCAAGACAACAUAAUAAAUAAUACCUGACAUUUCAUUUAUUAUUCCAAUUAAUGCUUUUUUUUUUUUUGUGGACUAGGGAAACUCAGGGGUACUCAACCACUGAGCCAGAUCCCCAGCCCUAUUUUGUAUUUUAUUUAGAGACAGGGUCUCACUGAGUUUCUUAGCGCCUCGCUUUUGCUGAGGCUGGCUUUGAACUCAUGAUCCUCCUGCUUCAACCCACAUUCCCACCCCAGCGGAUGGGGAUGCCAUCCUACUGGGCUCCAUUAAUCUUGAACGCACCUUUAAGAAAUACAUUAUAUCUUUGAGAUAUAAAUAAUGAGAUUAACUUGCCAAAGUCAAGUUUGAGUAUUUUUUCAUUCAACAUUGUUUUGAAGAUGCAUCCAUGAUUUGUGUGGUUGUUUAUUCCUUUUGCCUGCUCCGUAGUACUAUGUUUAAUGAGUAUACUACAAUUUGAUCAUUUAUGAUUGAUGGUCCUAAAUCGUUUCCAAUUAGGGACUGUAAGGAGCAUGUGCCAUAGACAUGCUGGGACUCACUAAGUUGCUAGCCAUAAGGAAUGGCAGCCACAGGCAUGCGUAAUCAUGUCUGGUUGCAAUUGACAGGAAGCAUAGCUCCAUGGACAUGCGCAAAGAACAUGCCCAGUCACAAUUACAUCAUCUCACUGGACAUAAAUCAAUGGACAUUGACUCUCACUGGGUGUAACUAAUCACCAACAUACACCACCAACUUGGAACUUUAAAUACACCGCCUGUUCUGCAACAUUGAAGAGCUUCACUCUGAGGACGUCAGUGAGACUGGCAGCCUUGCUGUCUGUCCCCAGAUGGACUCCACCAUUCCCUGACAUCCAACCAUUGGCUGGAGAGAACCAGCAUAUAAUGACAAGGUCUGCUCUUUGGCUAAGAGAAGUCUGGUGGCAUCAGAGGGACUUUGGGGCUUGUGGUUGCCCUAGGAUUGUGUGACUUGCUUGUAGUGCUUAAUUAGUGUGUAUUGAAUGCAAAUUGAGGUGCUCCAGCACACCCCACACUUUUUGCAUUAAUUGUUUGAUGAUUGGUGUAAUCUAAUAUACACUUGUAUUUAAAGACAA